rnacentral:rRNA from 1 species
CGAGUUGUAAUCUAUAGAGGCGUUUUCCGUGCCGGACCGUGUCCAAGUCUCCUGGAAAGGAGUAUCAAAGAGGGUGAUAAUCCCGUACUUAACACGACCACCGGUGCUCUGUGAUACGUCUUCUACGAGUCGAGUUGUUUGGGAAUGCAGCUCAAAAUGGGUGGUGAAUUCCAUCUAAAGCUAAAUAUUGGCGAGAGACCGAUAGCGAACAAGUACCGUGAGGGAAAGAUGAAAAGCACUUUGGAAAGAGAGUUAAACAGUACGUGAAAUUGUUGAAAGGGAAACGAUUGAAGUCAGUCGUGUUCUUUGGAUUCAGCCAGUUCUGCUGGUCUACUUCCUUGGAACGGGUCAACAUCAGUUUUGUCCGGUGGAUAAAGGUAGUAGGAAUGUGACUUCUCCGGAAGUGUUAUAGCCUAUUAUCACAUACACUGGGUGAGACUGAGGACUGCAGC